UACGUAGGGGGCAAGCGUUGUCCGGAUUUAUUGGGCGUAAAGAGCGUGUAGGCGGCCAGGUAGGUCCGCUGUGAAAACUCGAGGCUCAACCUCGAGAUGUCGGCGGAAACCAUCUGGCUAGAGUCCGGAAGAGGAGAGUGGAAUUCCUGGUGUAGCGGUGAAAUGCGCAGAUAUCAGGAAGAACACCCGUGGCGAAGGCGGCUCUCUGGGACGGUACUGACGCUGAGACGCGAAAGCAUGGGGAUCAAACAGG
rnacentral:rRNA from 1 species